GUUGUUUAAAGAGAGGCAGACAAGCCCUUUUCUCCCAAACCCUAGAAUUCUCUACGCUUUAAUUUUGAAGCUAAAGCAAAGUAAGACAAAUCUCAUUUGAGAUAGCAAGAUAAGUAAUCAACCUGAAAGAUGGCUGAUUACGAACUUAACGGUGAAGACGUCGACAACAACAACAACAACAAUGAUUACGCUUUUGAUUCCUCCCCGCAGCCUCGUGCUACUGAUGAUUACAGCGACUCCAAAUCUCAGCGUGGAUCUCGAGAUUAUGAAAGAGAAUCUUCAAGAAGCAGAGAAAAGGAAAGAGAAAAAAGUCGUGAUAAGGAGAGGGACCGUGACCGGGAUAGGGAUCGGCAUCGUGACAGGGACAGGGAUCAGGAGAGAAGCAAAGAUAGGGACAGAGACAGAGAUAGGGAAAAGGACAAAGAAAAGGAUCGUGAUCGUCACCACAGAGAUCGCCACAGGGACCGUAGUAGAGAACGCAGUGAAAGGAGGAGGGAUAGAGAUGAUGAUGAUGAUUAUCACCGAAGCCGAGAUUAUGACAGGCGGAGAGAUUAUGACAGAGAAAGCAGGCACAUACGCCGUUCUCGAUCUCAGGGUAGAUCUGAGCACAGAUCAAGGUCACGUUCUCGCUCACGUUCAAAGAGCAAAAGGAUAAGUGGAUUUGACAUGGCACCUCCUGCUUCUGCAAUGGUAGCUGCUGGUGCUGCUGUUGCUGCUGCAGGUCAAAUUCCUGGGACAAGUCCAGCCAUUCCUGGCAUGUUCCCAAACAUUUUCCCAUUGGCUACUGGUCAGCAGUUUGGUGCUCUUCCUGUUAUGCCAGUUCAGGCAAUGACUCAGCAGGCUACUAGGCAUGCUAGGCGAGUAUAUGUUGGAGGACUUCCCCCAACAGCGAACGAACAGUCUGUUGCUACUUUCUUUAGCCAAGUUAUGGCUGCAAUUGGAGGAAACACAGCUGGUCCAGGGGAUGCUGUUGUUAAUGUUUACAUAAACCAUGAAAAAAAGUUCGCUUUUGUUGAGAUGAGAUCUGUUGAGGAAGCCAGUAAUGCAAUGGCUUUAGAUGGGAUUAUUUUUGAGGGAGCCCCUGUCAAGGUGAGGAGGCCCAGUGAUUAUAACCCAUCUCUCGCUGCAACACUUGGUCCCAGCCAGCCCAACCCUAAUCUUAAUUUAGCUGCUGUUGGUCUAACUCCAGGUUCUGCUGGUGGGCUUGAGGGCCCAGACCGCAUUUUUGUGGGUGGGCUUCCCUAUUACUUCACAGAAGCGCAGAUCAGGGAGUUGUUGGAGUCUUUUGGGCCCCUGCGUGGUUUUGAUCUGGUUAAAGAUAGAGAAACUGGAAACUCCAAAGGCUAUGCGUUUUGUGUUUAUCAAGAUCUUUCAGUUACGGACAUUGCAUGUGCUGCCCUGAAUGGGAUAAAAAUGGGUGAUAAGACUCUCACUGUUAGGCGUGCGAACCAGGGUGCUAACCAACCUAAACCUGAGCAAGAGAGUGUACUAUUACACGCUCAGCAGCAGAUUGCGUUGCAGAGGCUUAUGUUACAACCUGGUGCAGUUCCGACCAAGGUGGUGUGCUUAACUCAAGUAGUUACUGCAGAUGAGCUCAAGGAUGAUGAGGAGUAUGAAGAUAUUUUAGAAGACAUGAGAACAGAAGGAGGGAAAUUUGCCUUUUGUAGUCCCACAUUCUGCUAUAAAGAAUCAGGCCUAAUAUACACAGAUAGAAGACUCCAUAACCUUCAAUUUGUUUAUUUUAUAUUCACCUUGAUAUGUUUUUCUAACAAUUUUUAAAGUUUUUUGUCUAUUCCAAAAUUUUCACACUUGAUAUGCAGGUGCAUUGGUGAAUGUUGUCAUUCCACGCCCAAGCCCCAAUGGUGAACUAUUACCAGGAGUUGGAAAGGUAUUCUUAGAGUAUGCAGAUGUUGAUGGUGCUUCAAAGGCCCGGACAGGGAUGAAUGGAAGAAAAUUUGGUGGGAAUCAAGUGGUCGCUGUGUUUUACCCGGAAAACAGGUUUGCUCAGGGGGAUUAUGAUGGAUAGUAUUCUUCUGAAAAGAACUGCUCUGACAUUCAGUCGACUAGGCCCGUGGUAUUAGAUGGUUUACAAGAAUGUUCUUUGAGAGUUUUUGGUGUAAUGUUGUUAGUUAUACUAUUUUGAUUGUUUGCUCAGGGGUCAUUAUGAAUAUUGUUCCGGCUAUUAUUAGUUAGAAUAGUGAAUGUGCUCUAUUGAUAUCCAAUAACAUUUUUGCUAGAUUUGAACAGAUCUUUUUUUUUUUCUUUUCACAAAAUUUUAUACUAAGCAUUGCGAUCA